UAAUUUAUAUAAAAUAUUUUGGAUGAAUAUUUAUAUAAUAUUAACAUAAUUCAUAUUACUAUAUAUUUUAGUAUAUGAAAUUUUACUUUGAGAAAAUUAGAGUGCUUAAAGCAGGCAUAUGCCUUGAAUACUCCAGCAUGGAAUAAUAUUAAAGAUUUUUAUCUUUCUUAUUGGUUCUAAGAUAAGAAUAAUGAUUAAUAGGGACAGUUGGGGGCAUUUGUAUUUAACAGUCAGAGGUGAAAUUCUUAGAUUUGUUAAAGACAAACUAAUGCGAAAGCAUUUGCCAAGGAUGUUUUCAUUAAUCAAGAACGAAAGUUAGGGGAUCGAAGACGAUCAGAUACCGUCGUAGUCUUAACCAUAAACUAUGCCAACUAGAGAUUGGAGGUUGUUCCUUACUCCUUCGC
rnacentral:rRNA from 1 species